rnacentral:rRNA from 1 species
GGCCCAAUACUGACGCUGAGGCACGAAAGCGUGGGGAGCAAACAAGGAUUAGAUACCCUGGUAGUCCACGCCCUUAACGAUGAAUAUUAGAUGUUUGGUGCCAAGCGUACUGAAGUGUCGUAGCUAACGCGAUAAGUAUUCCGCCUGGGAAGUACGGCCGCAAGGUUAAAAACUCAAAGGAAUUGACGGGGGCCCGCACAAGCGGUGGAGCAUGUGGUUUAAUUCGAUGCAACGCGAAGAACCUUACCUGGGCUUGACAUGUCUGGAAUCCUGCAGAGAGGCGGGAGUGCCCUUCGGGGAAUCAGAACACAGGUGCUGCAUGGCUGUCGUCAGCUCGUGUCGUGAGAUGUUGGGUUAAGUCCCGCAACGAGCGCAACCCUUGUCCUUAGUUGCCAGCGGUUCGGCCGGGCACUCUAGGGAGACUGCCGGUGACAAACCGGAGGAAGGUGGGGAUGACGUCAAGUCCUCAUGGCCUUUAUGUCCAGGGCUACACACGUGCUACAAUGGCGCGUACAGAGGGAGGCCAAGCCGCGAGGUGGAGCAGACCCCAGAAAGCGCGUCGUAGUUCGGAUUGCAGUCUGCAACUCGACUGCAUGAAGUCGGAAUCG